CCUACGGGUGGCAGCAGUGAGGAAUAUUGGUCAAUGGGCGAGAGCCUGAACCAGCCAAGUAGCGUGAAGGAUGACGGCCCUACGGGUUGUAAACUUCUUUUAUAAGGGAGCAAUUGGGUCCACGCGUGGGCUUAGCGAGAGUACCUGAAGAAAAGGCAUCGGCUAACUCCGUGCCAGAAGCCGCGGUAAUACGGAGGAUGCGAGCGUUAUCCGGAUUUAUGGGGUUUAAAGGGUGCGUGGGCGGAAUAUCAAGUCGGCGGUAAAAAUUCGGGGCUAAACCCGGUCGUGCCGUUGAAACUGACGUUCUUGAGUGCGCGAGAAGCAUGCGGAAUGCGUGGUGUAGCGGUGAAAUGCAUAGAUAUGACGAAGAACCCCGAUUGCGAAGGCAGCAUACCGGCGCCCAACUGACGCUGAAGCACGAAAGCGCGGGUAUCGAACAGGAUUAGAUACCCCUGUAGUC
rnacentral:rRNA from 1 species